ACUUACCACCACAAUUAGAAAAACAGAGCGGUGUGCGCAUCAGGACCUUACCUUCAUUAGCUUGUCCAGUCAUCAUCCUCUUUACAUAAGAAGAUGAAGGAACAUCAUGGCAGGAAACUAAAAUCUCAAUGGGAAUAAUAGACUGUGAGUAAAUGAGGACAAAUGGAUGUUUCUAAGAUGCUUGCAGUAUGAAAUAGCCUUCGUAAAUUGGUUAAUGAGAGAACUAGGAAGCAAACUGCAGACAGUUACAGAGUUCUGACUGCUGAAAAAUACAUUGAUUGAGGAGAGGCAAAACAUGUUUUUCACAGUUUUUGAAGAUGUAUGAGAUAGUUCUUUAAAUGUUUAUAACACAUUUAUUUUCUUCUCAUAAGUGCCAUGGCACAAAGUUUGGUUUAGAUAUUACAGAUGGUUUCUGGUGCAUUACUUCCUUGCUUUGUCAUGGACACCACCUCACAAGAAGAACAAAGUACAAGUUGCAUGGGCAGCUUCCAGAUCAGAGCCUCUGCAAGGCUUGGUCCAGGUAUCUUGAAACUUUGGGAAGUCCUAAAUACAAACAAAAAUCUUCCCACUAAAGAUCAUCUUGAAGAGGAGCAUCCAUCCGCAUUUUCUCAUCCUCUCCUUCCUAUUCUACAAAAGGAGACCGUCAGUACUCUGUAGGCAUAGAGCCAUAUUUACGUUGGCCAAAGCCAAAUGACAUUUGAUGUCAGCUUACAGCCCCAUCACUAACCUGGGACAUGAAGAGAUCAGUGUGAUGAUGUAAGGAUGACACUCCACAUGUGAAAAUAACAGAAAACAGAGCUCUGCUCAUCAUCUUCCCCAUUAGUGGGAUUUCUUCAGGUGACCAAUAGGAUCAUGGAGGCGAUGGAGGGCGUCAGUGUGUCCAGAAGAAACUGUGCCAUGCCACAGGGAAACUAGAAAGGAGAAAAAUGGACCCCCGCAUAAAGGAGAGUUGUUUUUUUUUUAAAGACCCCUCUUCCAGGGAUUCUCGGCAGGAAGAGUUUGCCUUCCUGCUGCGCCAGUGAUUGAGCUGCAAGCAAAGAAUGGAAAUUUCCAAUUGCAGCAUCAAGGGCUGCUGUUCUGCUGACUGUCUUGCUCAGCCAGGGUCAUCUGCUUCUCUAAAACAUCAAGGAAUGCCAAGUCUGAUCGUGGCAAUUUCAUGGAAGACCACCGGUAAAGCCAUUGGCUUCUUGAGGACAAGGCCAAACAUCCCGACUGGCUCCAGGUGGGCAGGCAUCAAGCCUUGAAGAGUGACCCCAGCCCUGCAGUGCCAUGUGAGAGCCAUCCAUAUUCAUCCAUGCUGGCCGACUCCAAAGGACACUUAAGCAAAUUAGCACUUUGAAGAAGACUGCACAGGAGAGUCCAUAAUGCCGGCUUUCCUCCCAGUCAAGCAUCAAUCAUGGGACUUCUCCGGGAAAGCAUGUAUUGCCUGGCUGGAAAACUUGAGAAACAUUCAGUUGACCAGUGUUCUUGGGCACCUACAAAUGCAGGACCAAACACACAGACUAGAGAAGCAUAACACUGGGUGGUCAACAGGGAAUGACCACAGGAUGGUGUCUGGAGACCUGGUUGGUUUCUGUGCCACCUGCCCCACCUAGAUGAUGUAAGACCUUCAGGAAGCACUUAGGUUUCUGAGAUGCGAUUUCUUCAUCUUAAGAGUACCCCCACAUGCCUCACUGUUUUUUGGGAGGAUCAGGUAAGAUCAUGCAUGUGAAGGUAUUUUGUGAACCAAGAUUUGCUAGCUUUAAAGUGAGAGUGGUCAUCAGAAGAGGCAUUUAGUAAAUAUCUGAUUAAUUUGUAAUGAUAAAAUACUGUCUUCCCUUCUUCCCUAUAUCUAGUUCCUGAGGGGUUUUGUUUCUCCCUCGAUGCAUGAGAGUGACAGAUCAUUGCCCUAAGCCCAGGUCAGCUAAGAAGAAAACGAAGAGGCGGCACCUUAUAUGAGAAAUUUUACGAAGAGAUGACACUAUGAAACAGACUCAGAAUGGUUCAUUUAUUUAUAGUCUUUAUUUUCUACUUGUUCUUAGUAAAGAAGGCAGUCUCUCUGUAGUGACAGAAUUCUAUACAGUCCAUGAGAAAACUGUCCUUUCAAACAUGGUUAUUCCUCAAAUGCUUCUGUAAGAUAUAAAAUUUAGUCACAGUUUUUUGUUUUUGUUUUUUUUUUUUUCACUUAACCCAUGAAAGUUGGAUGAGUCCACUGUUUUCCAAAUUCCAUCACAGAGUACCCACUGCAGGACUAAGACAUGGGGUUGAAGAAUUUUGUCAAUACACUGAAUCCAAACCAAUUGUGAAUUCCAUUAAUGAACAUAUUUAUGAUGCCCUUUUUAUGGGGCAUAAAAAGAGGAAACUGUUUCAGAAUUAACCGAUCCAGAACAGUUUUCGGAAACCUUAUUUCUUUUCUUUUUAAAACUCAUUACAGAAAGUUUCAAGCACACCCAAAGGCAGAAGAGUAGUAAAAAUGAACCCAUCCUUAUUGGACCUGUCAUCCAGCUUCAACAUAAGACCAAUCU